UGGGGCUCAGAAAGUUUAGGUAACACAGUAGGAAAUGAUGAAACUGAAACAAGCAAUCAUGUCUAUUUGAUUGCUUUUUUCCUGUAAAGACAGUCAUUAAUGCUCUUCACCAAAUGUUUUCAUUUCUUCUGACACAUGCCAAGAUCGCACUUCCCCAUCCUUUUGAAGUUACUUGCAGCCAUGAUAAUUGCCCUGGCCCAAUGCAAUGUGAACAGGUCUCAAGUGUGGCUGGCUUCGAGCAAGUCUUGAUCCCAGGGGUUCCUGGUGUCAUUGUAACCACCCAACGGGUUCAUCUUGCCCGCUGCCCAGACAGUGGAUUCAUCAAGACAAAGGAAUUGCAAUAAAGAGUUUAAUUCACACAGAGCUGGCUAAACAGGAGACCAGAGUUUUAUUAUUACUUAAAGCAGUCUCCUGAAAAUUCAGAGACUGGGAUUUUUAAAGGAUAAUUUGGGGGAGUAGGAGACCAGGGAGCGGGGAGAAUUGAUGGCUCUGGUGUGACAUGAAAUCAUAGGGAGUUGAAACUGUCCUCUUGCACUGAGUCAGUUCUUGGGUGGGGGCUACAGGACUAGAUGAGCCAGUUUAUCCAUCUGAGUGAUGCCAGCUGAUCCAUGAGUGCGGGGUCUGAAAAACAUCUUAAGCACCAAUCUUGGGUUUUACAAUAGUGAUAUUAUCCUUAGGAACAAUUGGGGAGGUUUAGAAUCUUGUGGCCUCUAGCUGCAUUAUUCCUAAACUGUAAUUUCUAAUCUUGUGGCUAAUUUGCUAGCCCUAAAAAGGCAGUCUGGUCCCCAGGCCAGAAAGGGGUUUGUUUUCAGAAUGAGCUGUUAUCAUCUUUGUUUCAAAGUUACACUAUAAACUAAGUUCCUUCCAGAGUUAGUUCUGCCUAUGCCCAGGAAUGAAC
rnacentral:lncRNA from 1 species